GGGGUAUAAUCUAAAAAAAACUUGCAAAAGAUGCAGAUUUCGUGUCUGCAGCCUUUGCAAGCCCUCCCUUUCUUUCCCAGCCCAGACCUUCUGUGGCUGUCCAAUCACAGACUUGCCACUGCAGCUCAAUGAGAAGGCUCCACUCCACUGAGCUAAACAAACCAGGAAGUAACUGGUUGUCUGCUUGAAACCCAUUGGGGUGUAACCAGGGUAGAGGAACAC